rnacentral:tRNA from 1 species
GUCCCCAUCGUCUAGAGGCCCAGGACACCGCCCUUUCACGGCGAUAACCGGGGUUCGACUCCCCGUGGGGACGCCA